rnacentral:rRNA from 1 species
CCGUGCCUACGGGGCGCAGCAGUGGGGAAUAUUGCGCAAUGGGCGAAAGCCUGACGCAGCGACGCCGCGUGAGGGAUGAAGGUCCUCGGAUCGUAAACCUCUGUCGGCAGGGAAGAACGGUCACUGUGCUAAUCAGCAGUGAAUUGACGGUACCUGCAAAGGAAGCACCGGCUAACUCCGUGCCAGCAGCCGCGGUAAUACGGAGGGUGCGAGCGUUAAUCGGAAUUACUGGGCGUAAAGCGCUCGCAGGCGGUAUGUCAAGUCAAGGGUGACAUCCCCGCGCUCAACGUGGGAACUGCCUUUGU